UACGUAGGGUGCAAGCGUUGUCCGGAAUUAUUGGGCGUAAAGAGCUCGUAGGCGGUUCGUCGCGUCGGCUGUGAAAACCCGGAGCUCAACUCCGGGCCUGCAGUCGAUACGGGCGGACUUGAGUUCGGCAGGGGAGACUGGAAUUCCUGGUGUAGCGGUGAAAUGCGCAGAUAUCAGGAGGAACACCGGUGGCGAAGGCGGGUCUCUGGGCCGAUACUGACGCCGAGGAGCGAAAGCGUGGGGAGCGAACAGG
rnacentral:rRNA from 1 species